rnacentral:rRNA from 1 species
CUACGGGGUGCACCAGUGGGGAAUAUUGGACAAUGGGGGAAACCCUGAUCCAGCAAUGCCGCGUGUGUGAAGAAGGCCUGCGGGUUGUAAAGCACUUUCGGUUGGGAGGACUGCUUCUAGCACUAAUAUUGUUGGAAGUUGACGUUACCUUCAGAAGAAGCACCGGCUAACUCCGUGCCAGCAGCCGCGGUAAUACGGAGGGUGCAAGCGGUUAAUCGGAAUUACUGGGCGUAAAGCGCGCGUAGGCGGCUAGAUCAGUCGGGUGUGAAAGCCCCGGGCUUAACCUGGGAACUGCAUCCGAAACGGUCUAGGUUGGGUGCAGGAGAGGAGGGGGGAAUUCAACAGGUACCGGUGAAAGGCGUAAAUAGGUGGGGGAACACAAAGGGCGAGGGCAGCUCUCUGGCCUGAUACUGACGUUGAGGUGCGAAAGCGUGGGGAGCAAACAGGAUUAGAUACCCCUGAGUC